rnacentral:rRNA from 1 species
CCUACGGGUGGCAGCAGUGAGGAAUAUUGGUCAAUGGCCGCAGGGCUGAACCAGCCAAGUCGCGUGAGGGAUGACGGUCCUAUGGAUUGUAAACCUCUUUUGUCAGGGAGCAAAGGGCGCCACGUGUGGCGCUUUGCGAGUACCUGAAGAAAAAGCAUCGGCUAACUCCGUGCCAGCAGCCGCGGUAAUACGGAAGGUCCGGGCGUUAUCCGGAUUUAUUGGGUUUAAAGGGAGCGUAGGCCGCAUGUCAAGCGUGCUGUGAAAUGUCCGGGCUCAACCCGGGCCUUGCAGCGCGAACUGGCGUGCUUGAGUCCGCGGAAAGCAGGCGGAAUUCGUCGUGUAGCGGUGAAAUGCUUAGAUAUGACGAAGAACCCCGAUUGCGAAGGCAGCUUGCUGCAGCGGAACUGACGCUGAUGCUCGAAAGCGCGGGUAUCGAACAGGAUUAGAUACCCGUGUAGUC